CUACAGGAAAAAUGGGAUAUGGUGGCGUUUUUUUAACGACGUUUUUUUGAACGUCACUUUUAUUAAUAUUUAACGGCGUUUUAUAAACGCCACCUAUUCUUUAAAAUAAAACUACACCGUUUUAUAAUAGGAGUCGCUUUUAAACGCCUCCAAAUCCGUUAGCCUCAUGCGCCUCCUCUGUCCCUCUUUGUUGAAACCCUUAUUUUGAAUCUGAGAUGUAAUACGCACGCAUCUCUCUCUCUUUCUCUCAACCCUCUCAUUCUCACACCUUCAAAUCUCGCCUCUCUCCUGCUCAGCCCCAAUUGCUUCUAAACCCUCGAGAGCGAUUUUCUUUGAGAUUCAGAUUCAUGCAGGUUCACUUUGAGAUUCAGAGCGAUUUCGAUUUUGAAGAUCUCUCUCUCGAUUUCAAAGCUCCACCGUCUCUCUCUCUCCCUAGAUCUGGCCGGUAAUCAUAGUUUUAUGAGAGAAGAAAGAGGACAGGGACUGGGAGCUUGCGAAGAGAGAGGCAGUGCUUGAUUUCUCAGAGAUUCAGAUCGGUCUCAGAGAUUUCAUCUCUGAGCGAUUUCGAUUUUGAAGUUCUCUCUCUCAAUUUCGAGGCUCCACCGCGACCACCAUCUGCACCAGCUAGGUGGUGAUGAAGUGUAGAGAUCGGUUACAUGAACUUGUAAAGGAAGAGAUAGAGAAUAAGGAUUCGAGUACGGAGGAGUGGAAGAUCGUGAUGGAGAGAAGCUUCAAACGCAUGGACAAUGAGGUGAUUGCAUGGAACAACAUUCAUUUUUUGUUCUGUCCAGAUUUUUUUCUUUUCUUCCUCUUUUUCUUUGUUCUGUCCAGAUUUAUCUUCCUCUUCGAUUCACUUUACUUUUUCAGGGCAGGUUAGUUUUUUUUGUUUUUUUGAUGCACAAGAUAGGGAUUCAUAGCCAAAUGACAACUAAUGUUAAAAGGUAGUACAUAUGCAGAGGAAGAGAGAGUAAAGUGAAAAGCCCUUAUGCUUUUGGAUUUGCUCUACCCUUGAACACCCUACCCUCCAGGACCUUUUCUUUAUCAUUGCCACAAGGGACUGGAUAGUGUAAUUGUUUGCGCAGUAAGAUGAGCUUUGGUAGCACCAGUGGAGGUUCUGGUAGUAGAACUUCUCAAAGGACAUUUGAGUUUGGAAGAACCAAUGUGGUCAGGCCUAAAGGGAAGCACCAAGCUACUAUAGUUUGGCUACAUGGCCUUGGUGAUAAGGGAUCAAGGUACAAAACAUUCUUCAACAGAUGGUAUCUAGACCAGUGAAGAUUACAAAUUCUAUGCUAUAUCAGUUGAGUUGAGUGAAUUUAGCAACAAAGACAUGAUAUUAAAUUAAAUCAUAACUCACGGGGUUUGUCUUAAUGUUUUUCCUAUUAUUUUUUGGCAAAUGUUAAAACAUGAAUUGUGGAUAUGUUAUUUUUUAGUUAAUGGUGAUUGGUUAUUAAAUUA